rnacentral:lncRNA from 1 species
AAGCACUGGAGUCUUGUAACGUUGACAUCUUUUUUAAAGAGAUCUAAACUUCUGCUUUUAAAAUAAGACAGUGGUUUUUGACGAAAUGGAAAACAAAAUAAUAGUAAUUGUUGCGAUUUGCGCAUUGCUUGUUGCAAGUGUGAGCGGAUGUGGUGAUCCGCCCUGUCCUCCUGACUCUGGAUGUUGUGACAGUACUGCUAGUACUAGCGACACAGAGACACUUUCCGAGUCCGAUUUUGACUGUACUACAUGUACUUGCGGACCAGUAAGAAAGCGUCGUGAUUGUUGACUGUAAUUUAUGUAGUUGCUCUAGAAGGAAACGUCGUCAUGGUAUAUUAUCUUGUCACUAAAGGAACACACAGUAACAGAUACAAGCCAACAUAACAUCAAAAGAUCACCGACUUGCUUUUUUAUUUAUCAAUAAACUAAGAGUUGACAUCCGAA